rnacentral:snRNA from 1 species
AUGUGUGAAGGUGAUCUGGCUGUGACAUCUGUCACCUCACUGAUCACCAGGGUUGAUUUGACUGAUCUGGCUAGGCAGGUAUCCCCUUCCUCCCUCACUGCUGCAUGUGUGUCCCUCCCGAAGCUGUGUGCUCAGUCAAAGUGGACAACCAUCUCCGAUAGAGGAGGACCAGUCUUCGGCCAAGGGUAUAGAGUAGCUGUGCUCCCCUGCUAGAACCUCCAGACAAGCUCUCAAGAUUCAACAUAUUCAUGCAUGCAGUGGAGUUUCUUUGAAGGCUUUCUC